AUAACUUGUAUGUGGACACAUGAAAAGCUGUAAUUGUGUGCCUCUGAAAGUCUUUGUAUUGCUGUUAGUCUUUAUUGGAAGUUUGUUGUUGUUUUUUUUUUUUUUAGCUCUUUGAACUUCUGAAUUUUGUUGCGGAGAGUUUCAUCUUUACCUACAUUGGAGUGUCAGUGUUCACUUACCAGAAACAUCGCUGGAAUGUUUGGUUCAUCCUUGCGUCUUUUCUUGCCAUUGCUGUGGGACGAGCAGUUAAUAUCUAUCCUCUGUCAUUUCUUAUGAACUUGGGUAGACACAACAAAAUCCCCUGCAAUUUUCAACACAUGCUGUUUUUCUCAGGCUUAAGAGGAGCCAUGGCUUUUGCUCUUGCUAUCCGAAAUACCAUGUCUGAACCUCGUCACCUGAUUUUGACUACAACUUCUUUAAUUUCAAUAAUAACUGUGAUGAUUUGUGGGGGAUCAACAACUCAGGUCCUAAGCUGGUUGGG